GCAAAAAGGUUCCUACUAUUCCCCUCCUUCCCGUCCCAUGCAUUCUCGUCUCUCGACAGUCUGACAGACAACGUUGAAAAGAAGCCUCUAUCAAUAGUUAAAGGUUUGAACUUUACAUUCGAAAAUACCCAAAAACAAAACAAAAUACAUAGUUACUAUAAUUUUUCCUAUGCUUUCUUCUCUCCGUUGAUUCCGCAAACUCGGUUUGUUUGUUUUGUUUUGAAAGCCGCAUUAACAAUACAAAAAUCAAACCAAAAAACAAAAUCUUCUUUAUCCGCCAUCUACCGCAAUUGUCGCGGAACUGAGCAAAGAGAAGCUAAAGCGAGUGGGAGAGAGAAAGGCAGAGAGGGUGGACUGCGAGAAAGUGAAAAGACGACAAUGAAAAGCAUUCCCAUUUUGGAACUUAUGGUUUGUUCUACAGAUUUAUAUAUAAUUAUAACCCAUUUUUGCUUCCCAUCCUCUGUUCUUUGUCCUUCAGUCCUCGCUUAAUUGACUCGGGUCCAGGGAUUUCGAUUCUUCUGAGUCCCCUAUGCUUUCUGGUCAGCGGUCGUGGUGGUUUUAGCGGGGUGUUAUGGGUUGCGUGAGCUCGAAGCAAGCGGUGUCGGUGACGCCGGCUUUGGACCAUUCUGGCGCGUUCCGGGACAGCGGCGUCGGUGCGGGGAAUUCGGGUCGUAUCCGGGUCGGCUCGGGGGAGAAUGAGAAGGGGAAGUCUAGUAACAGGAAGAAGAGUGGCGAGUCAGUGGUGGUGGUGGGACUGAGCGGGAGCGAGUUGGGUGAGUCCGGGAGAGCGAGUUCCAAUGGGAACGACUCGUCGUUAAGCUUCAGAUUGGGGAAUUUGCAAAAGUACGUGGAGGGGGAGCAGGUGGCUGCUGGCUGGCCUGCUUGGCUCAGCGCCGUCGCCGGCGAAGCCAUUCAGGGCUGGAUUCCUCUACGAGCCGAUGCCUUCGAAAAAUUAGAAAAGAUCGGACAGGGUACAUAUAGCAGCGUGUUCCGAGCACGUGAAACAGAAACUGGCAGGAUAGUUGCUCUGAAGAAGGUGCGGUUUGACAAUUUUGAGCCCGAGAGUGUUCGGUUUAUGGCCAGAGAAAUUACAAUUCUACGCAGGCUUGACCAUCCGAACAUCAUAAAACUGGAGGGUAUAAUUACUUCCCGAUUGUCAUGUAGCAUAUACCUUGUAUUCGAGUACAUGGAACAUGAUAUUACUGGACUCUUAUCUUGCCCAGACAUCAAGUUCAGUGAGUCACAGAUCAAAUGCUAUGUGAAGCAGUUGUUAUCUGGAAUUGAGCACUGCCACUCAAGGGGAGUAAUGCACCGGGAUAUUAAAGGAUCAAAUCUGUUGGUUAAUAAUGAUGGAAUUUUGAAGGUGGCUGAUUUUGGAUUGGCAAAUUUUUAUAGUUCUGGGCAUAGGCAACCCCUAACCAGUCGCGUUGUCACCUUGUGGUACCGUCCUCCUGAACUUCUUCUCGGAUCGACUGAUUAUGGAGCAUCUGUGGAUCUUUGGAGUGUUGGCUGUGUAUUUGCAGAACUAAUACUAGGAAAACCGAUCCUUCAAGGGAGAACAGAGGUUGAGCAACUACACAAAAUUUUCAAGCUUUGUGGAUCUCCACCUGAUGACUACUGGAAGAGAACCAAACUUCCUCAUGCAACAUUAUUCAAACCACAGCAACCUUAUGAUAGUUCUCUUCGUGAGACCUUUAAAAAUUUACCUAAAACCACCAUAAGCCUGCUGGAAACUCUUCUGUCCGUAGAACCAUACAAACGAGGGACAGCUUUCUCUGCUCUAGCAUCUGAGUACUUCACAUCAAAGCCUUAUGCAUGUGAUCCAUCAAGCUUGCCAAUAUACCCACCCAGCAAGGAGAUUGAUGCAAAAAGUCGUGAGGAGGCAAAGAGGAAAAAGAUUGGUGGGAGAGUUCGUGGACCUGAAAUAACAAGAAAGCCUGCAAGAAAACCCUAUGGAAUCUGUAAAUUGGCACCAGGAGAGGAGAUGGCAAAUCAGACUCAGGAUUCUCAUAAGAUUAAGGUUAGCAAUGGAGAUAUUCUCAGAGAUGUAAAUUCUGCUAUAGAAGGCAUGGCACGAAAGCCAUCAGUUGAUAACAUUGAAGAGGCUUCCCAUGUAAAGAAUGCAUCUCAAGGUGACGUUCCCUUUUCCAUCCCCUUACAAGUUUCUACAUCAAGUGGUUUUGCAUGGGCAAAAAGGAGAAAAGAGGAUGCAUCCGUAAGAUCACACAGUAGGUCUAUUUCAAGAGGACACAUUGGCAGUAUUGUAGAACCUACUACUGCAUUGCAUGCCAGGAACAAUGUUGACUCUAGAAGGCACGAAAAUGGGGAUGCAUAUGGGACCCGCUCAUAUUGUAGAGGCCAUGAUUCCUAUGAGAUUGUCAAGCUUGCAAUGCAGAAUAAUUGGUGCAAGUUUGAGCGUCCAGACUCAUUUGAUGCUUCUGAUGAGUACCACUCUCAGGAACUGUCGUUGGCACAAUAUGAAAGAGAGAUGUCAGCUAAAAGAAGCAAUCUGGUAAGUUUGUAACUUUUAGAACCAGAUGUGGUAUGAAUUGUUUCAGUUACAAUACAUACCCUCCUGUUUCUUCUUUGGUAAGUUUCAAAUCUUAUUUUCCAUUUUAACGCUUGUUAAAACGAAGAAAAAAUGAAAAAGAAACUGAAAAUGAAUGCAUUGUGAUGUAAAAGAAGCAAUCUGGGAAAAGAAAGGAAAUGCAGCUAAAAAAUAAGCAACCUGGUGAGUUUGUAACUUCUAUAACCAGAUGUGGUUUCAAUUGAUUUCAGUUUCAAAAGGAAGCAAUGUAGUAAGUUGAUAACUUAUAGAACCAGAUGCAGGAUGAAUUGAUUUAAGUUUCAAUACAUAUCCUCAAUUUUAAUUUUUUGGGAAAGUUUCACUACAUAAUCUCCAAUUUAACUCCUGUUGAUAAGAUAAGGAAAAAACAAAAAUACAAAACUGUUGUAGUGUAUCAAAUGCAGCUUUUGCAUGUGAUAAAGAAAGGCAUUGACGGCUAAAAGAAGCAAUCUGGGGUACCAGGACCAAGGGGACAAGGUUGAAUUUUCUGGGCCAUUACUGUCUCAAUCACACAGAGUUGAUGAACUUUUAGAGAAGCAUGAGCGUCACAUCCGCCGGACGGUGCGAAAAUCAUGGUUCCAAAGAGG